rnacentral:rRNA from 1 species
UACGUAGGGUGCGAGCGUUAAUCGGAAUUACUGGGCGUAAAGCGUGCGCAGGCGGUUCUGAAAGUCAGCUGUGAAAGCCCCGGGCUUAACCUGGGAAUGGCAUUGGAAACUGGCGGACUCGAGUGUGGCAGAGGGGGGUGGAAUUCCGCGUGUAGCAGUGAAAUGCGUAGAGAUGCGGAGGAACACCGAUGGCGAAGGCAGCCCCCUGGGCUAACACUGACGCUCAGGCACGAAAGCGUGGGGAGCAAACAGG